GACAGAGGGUGCAAACGUUGCUCGGAAUCACUGGGCGUAAAGGGCGUGUAGGCGGGAAGGAAAGUCAGAUGUGAAAUCCCCAGGCUCAACCUGGGAACUGCAUUUGAAACUCCCUUUCUUGAGUACCGGAGAGGAAAGUGGAAUUCCUGGUGUAGAGGUGAAAUUCGUAGAUAUCAGGAGGAACACCAGUGGCGAAGGCGGCUUUCUGGACGGUAACUGACGCUGGAGACGCGAAAGCCGUGGGGAGCAAACAGG
rnacentral:rRNA from 1 species